rfam:Candidatus Burkholderia crenata strain TZHbot9 BCREchr_ctg293, whole genome shotgun sequence.
GUGAGGGUGACCGAGCGUGGGGAGGAGCGUGGAGCAAAACCGUGAGCCGAUGUACAAGAACCGGAUAGAAGGCAGUG